CUCUGCCUUCAUCCAGGCGAGGGGUGGGGGUGAAAGGAUGGGAGAGGGACCCUCCUCCUCUGGAGCUGGGGCUCCGAUGUGCUCACUUGGUUUUGCCUCUUGAAGGGUCUUGGUUUUUAAAGUGGCUUUGAAGCAAUGCUCUCCCGUGGACUGCAACCUGUCACCGCACCCUGUCAUCCGUCGAGUAAUUAAAAUCUGACUGAUUUACUGACUGGCACCGACCAUCACAGCUCAGGAGUCAGCUGAUGCUCAUCUUUCCCAAGGCUGAAUUUACGUGGCGAAAAGAGACCGCUGGCUCCCGAGCCGAGCUGUCAUUCAGGCACUGUGGAAACCGAAUUAAAACCAGUAAACUCGGACUAGAGAGCUCCAGGUCAAGUCCAGCCUCUCCCUCUGACUGGCCACACACACUCGGGAAAGGCACCACACUGCUGGGACUUCAUUCUCUUUCCUGUGAAAUGGGAGGGACCGUAGUCACCCUACAGGGCUCCAGGGAGGAGCAAGAGGAGGCCAGGAGUCAGAAAGCCAUUAGCAAACUCAAAGCAUGAUGCAAACGAUGGGCGCCCUAUGUCUAUUUCAAGAGUUCUCUGAGGAAAGAGGAAGAAAGUCUGCCAGGGCCUUGCAACCAUCAUGCUGGAUCCACAGGUCGACCUGGUCCUGGAGAACAAGGCAGGGCCCUCAAAGUGAGGUCCAGCCAAACCCCAGGCCCACCAAGUACUCACCUGCUGCGUAACACUGUCAUUUCCACAAAAUACCCAAAGACACGGCUCGGCUCGGCUUCUGACCCCGGGAAAACACAUGGCUUUAUUUAUUAUUUUUUUUAGUGAGAAAGACCUCAUCUCAAGCAGAAGAGCAGAGUUUUCAAUGCCACUCUCGCAUAGUAUUACACGGAGCGUCGUUUCCAAAUUGAUGAUGUUACUUAAUCAAAUGUCACGCUGGUAUUCUUGAGAGCAUUGAAAACAAAGGAAUAAAGAGUUCUUUACCACAAUUGGGCUUUUAUUUUAGUGUCUAAGCAAACCUCAUAUAUGUCCUACUGUCUGCCAAAAUGAGCUCUAGGUAUUUUUCUGAUACACUCCUCACAUAAUCCCCCCAAAAGGGAGGGAGGCAGGGAGAGAGGGAGGAAAGAGGGUGAAGAAAAGCAGAGGGGAGAGUUAGAGAGGAGUGAAGGAGGUGGCGUGGCGGGGCUGGCUGUGCCUG
rnacentral:lncRNA from 1 species